UACUCUAUGAAGAAGGUAAAAACCAUUGGUUCCUCGAAGCAAAAGAGAUGGCAGUGUUCCACUCACACUAACAGAGGCUGUCGUGGGACGAUUGUUACGUUUGAUGACAGAAUCAUUAAAAUAACAAACAAACAUAAUCAUGUACCUGUUAAAAAACCUUAUUAAUUUACUUAGUAUUAUCUUAUACCUGUUUAUAACUUAUAAGGUUUUAUAAUCUACCAAUCUUCAUACAGUCGAAAAAAGGCAAUCCUUUGAUUUUGCUAGCCGGUUACAGAUACUCUAUGAAGAAUUGUAAACCCAUAGGGAGUUCGAUGCAGAAGAGGUGGCAAUGUUCAACUCACACCAACAGAGGCUGCUGCGGUACUGUCAUCACACUCGACAACGCCAUCAUCAGGCUCAAGAAUGUACAUAAUCACGCUCCCGUACAUGGCUUUAUAUAAAACAUCUAGGACAUUCGCAAGCGGUCAUUUAAAUGAAACUAAGGCUUUCGAAUGACAAGCGUUUUAUAUUAUUUUACAAACUGACGUGACAUUUUUAUCUAGUCUGUAUGUUAUCACGGCUGCUGUAAAAUGUAAAGGAACCGAAACUCCGGGAGUAUGUAGUUCAUAACACAAAAAAAACGCGUACCUAGUAUUCGAAAACCUUAAUCUCAUUUAUAAAACAAGAUGACUACAUUACUAUUUAUAUUUUUUAAUGUAUGCUUUUUUUGGACGUCUGAUGUGAUUAGAAUCGAUAAAUUAUUUAUACUUGUGUUUUUUUCAUUAUAUUGUUACUUAAAUAACGUAUUUUUUUAUUGUACUACAUAUGAAUUUCGUUUUGAUUUUAAUAAAAUUUAAUAAAA